ACGAAUAACCUCGCGGGGACAACCAGGCCACUCGUCUUCCCGCUCUCCUCGACUCCGGAAGCUUCCCGCGGAAGGAAUGUGCGGGUGCACGGCCCUCGUCGCCGGAGGCCGGUUGCCUCCGCCCGCCCUCCCCCGCAGGCUACGCCGCCGCCAAGGGAGCUCCGUCCGGGCAGAGGCAUCCCCGGGAGGCGAGUCCCAGCGGAAGAAGGUCGCCGUCGCCGGCGCCGGCUCCGGCUGGGCCGGCCUCGCAGCCGCGCACCACCUCGUCAAACAGGGGUACGAUAUCACGCUUCUCGCGGCGGAGAGCGGGCCAACCGAGGAGGUUGGUCUCAGAGUUCCCUAAUCUUCCUGUCAUAGGUUGACAUCAAUUCCUGUCAUAGCUGCAGUCAUUGACUUUGACAACACAGACACUGCUUGGAGGAAAUAUGACGCUAUGACCUCAAGAGAACUUUUCAAGAUGUACGGUUGCUCUCAAAGGCUCUACAAGGAAGUAAGGAAGUCUUUGAACCAGCUAUUUAGGCUGCUCUGUUUGCUCUGGGUGGGCAAUGUAGUGCAGCUGCAACACCGGGGAUGCUGUACUAUUAUAUGCUGUCUCAUCAGGAAAACUCUGAUUUUUUGCUGUGCCGCAGUGAACUACAAAAAAAGAUUUUCUCUCAUUGGCUGAAAUCGUUGGAGCUGAAAGGCUUAAAAUUUGUUGCAAACAAAAUUCCAACAAGUUUGACCAUAGAUAAGGACAGUGGAUGCAUCUCUGCAAUUGUCUGCAGUGAGGAUAUAUACGAGGCAGAUGCAUUUGUUUCAGCCAUGGGACUCUCUCCUCUACAGUCCAUCGUUACGAGCCGUCCAUUCCUACGGUCUGAUCGAGAAUUCACCAAUCUUCUUCAUCUGUCCACAAUCGACGUGAUCUCUAUAAAAUUAUGGUUUGAUAAAAAGAUCACAAUACCAAAAGUUGCCAACGUAUGCUCUGGCUUUGAUGAUUCAUCUAGCUGGACGUUCUUUGACCUUACCUCAAUAUAUGAUGAUUAUUACGAAGAACCAAUACCAGUUGUGGAGGCUGAAUUUUAUAAUGCUAGCCAUUUGUUACCUCUAAAUGAUGAAUGCAUCGCCUCUGAAGCUUCAUUGCAUCUUAUGAAAUGCGUACAAGAUUUUGAGGGUGCUACUGUGACCAAACAAUUGGUCAGAAGAUCUCCUAGAUCUGUAAUCAACUUUCUUCCUGGUUCCUACAAGUACACACUGCGAGGAUCAACUUCCUUUCCAAAUUUGUUUGCUGCUGGUGAUUGGAUAGUCAAUCGACAUGGAUCCUUUUCAAAGGCAUAUGUGUGUGCUGUCAAUAAAGAUAGCUACUUGUCCGAUGGCUUUCAGCUGCUUCAGGUGAACAAAACCUAACAGCUGCUUCAGGUGAACAACACGUUUAGGUGAAUAACAGACUUAACAGUAAUUGUUACUCAUUUUGCUGGCCAUGCAAUAGCAAUUCCCAGUACAUGUGUUCCAUGCAUAUGCAUGGUAUUAUGGUUUACCAUGAACUAUGUAUUUUUGUUUAAGCAUAUUUUUCCCUUUUUCGUAGCCUCAGUUUUGGAACAUACUUUUUUUUUAAGGGCUGGAACAUACUUAUUUAAAAGAAAGCUUCAAUAGCUGCACUUUGUUUGUGAAAGUGACUUGGACAGGAUUAGCUCCAGUUUAUGGUAGGUUAUGUCUUUUGCAUAUGUAUUAUGCCCCAUGUUUAAGUCUGAUCAUUUUCUCAUAUGUUGCAUAUUUGGUUAUCAACAAAUGUACAUACUAGUCUCCAGAACGUGCGAAUAGCACAGUGGUAAGACCUCUAGGUGUGAGGCUACCAAUCAGGGCUCGAAUCUUGGUUCUAGCAAAAAAUGCCCCUCGUUGUGUGUUCCCUGUGGUUGCGGCGCGGUCGCUCAGCAAUAGCGUGCGGGUUAUAGCCAGCUUUCGGGACCUUUUCUUGACCUUAAAUGCAAUACAUUCGAGAUGUCUCUCCCCUUGGGUCGAGUUUUUUUUUUUUACAUACUAGUCUCGGACCAUAAUUGCCAAAGUAACUUGUUCCGAGUUAAACUUGCAGUGUUGCUUAUACUAGCAGUAUUUGCUGAAACAUAUAUACACAACCUCAUCCACCAAGAGAUCAGAGAGCUGCCUCAGAUAUGGAGGGCCACGGGGUGCUACUUAAAUCAAGUUGACCAACCAGUAUAGCAUCAAAUAUGCCUUUCUCUGUUUCUGCUCAGAUAUGCAAAUUCAGACAUUUAGUCUAUGGAUAUCAUACUGGAGAUAAUGUGGCAUGUUAUGAUGAAGAUGUGAGGAUAUUUACCUGCCCAGAAAGGCGGUGACCCGCAUAGAAGAAUAUACAAAAUCACUCCAGCGCUCCAGACAUCAAUUUCUUUCCCAUAAUUCCGAUGUAGUACCUCUGGCGCCACAUAGUAUGGGGUUCCCACAAUCUCCUUGUAAACUUUACCUGCAUUUGUUGGGGGGUAAUAGCCUUGCAUUACUUGUACGGAGCAAUUGUUUAUUAUUGUCUAUAAUGAUCAGCAAAGGCGUAUGGCGUAUGAACAACCA